rfam:Salmonella enterica subsp. enterica serovar Newport str. S09097 S_Newport_S09097_mira454_c1999, whole genome shotgun sequence.
CUUAAUAAACAACAAAACCAAACGUACUUUCAGAUUUCAGGCUGGAAUGCGCACAGCUGAUUGUUGAUAAGGGCUACUCAUACCGACAGGCCAGUGAAGCGAUGAAUGUCGGUUCCAC